UUGGAUUUUGCAUAGAAGAAGAAAAAAAUGAAAGAAUUUUGGUGUAUGAAUACAUGUCAAAUGGAAGACUUUCUGAUUGGUUGAAUGAUGAUACUACAAAAUUAGGAUGGACAAGGGUUAUUAAAAUUGCACUUGGUGUAGCAAGAGGUUUAUGUUGUCUUCAUCAUAGUUUGCAUAUGGUUCAUCUUAGUAUAAGCUUAGAGUGUAUCUUGUUAGGGGAUGAUUUCGAGCCGAAAAUAUCCAAUUUUGGAGGGGCCAUGUUUAUGAAUAAUGAUUUGAACAAAAGCAUAAGAUUUGAGAAGAAGGAUGUUUAUGACUUUGGUUGUUUUCUUUUUGAGUUGAUUAAGGGGAAUAAAUUUGGCCAAAGACAUGAUUGUUUAGGCAAUAAUAAUGUUCCGUUCGCGACGUACACAUAUCCAAAUCAUAUGAACCUAUUGGAGGACCAUUUUGGGUUCUAUGAUGCAAUGGAUGAAACACUAAACAAGAUAGAAUUUGAAGAUGAGGUAUCUGCUCUUCUUAGAGUUGCAUGUGAUUGUGUUCAUCCUAUCCAUGAAAAAAGGCCUACUAUGCUUGAGGUGUACAAUAAGAUGGGAAGCAUAUGGGAGAAAGAUGAGAUUUUUGAAGAUCAUGACCAAUUUGGAUUAAUGCAUAACUCUUAAGUAAUUGACACUAUUUGUGCAAACCUUCAAUUAAAUUCAAAUGUCCACAUUCAUGGUAUCAUGGAAAUGCUUGCUAAGCUUUGGGAGAUGAGGAUGAGGAAGAAAAUGUCUCUCUUUGCAUAGAAGAUGAAUAAAUAUGAUAAUUAUAAAGUUGAUAAUUUUAUUAUAGUUUUGUCUAAGUCUCAAAAGUAAAACUUGAGAAAUAAUUUGGGAUCACUUUAUUUUACAAGAAAUUGUUCAACUAAUAUCACAAACUUGAUGUAACUCAAUUGCAAAUCACAAAUUUUUUGGUGUUCAAUAGUGACAACAAGUUUAGAGGUAAGACCUCAUAUUUUAAUCUUAAGGCUCCCAAAAUUUUGAUGCAUGAUGUCAUCGCACAUCCGACAUAUGCUUUAGGGUCGGGCAAUUAUUAAUUGUUAAAAUGUUAGCAACGGCUCCCAAAAAAAAAAAAUCAACGGGAUUUGUUUUAUACAAUCUUGAUAUAUUUAAAUAGUUGCUCAUUUUUUUUAUUUGAUUUUGUUUUAUCAUCAAAUCUAGUCUAGAUAAUGAAACAAUAUAAUCUACUAAAUAGAAGAUCACAUAUCAUUCAUUCUCUGUUUUUGUGAUUUAUUUUUUCAGUGAAGCUCGAGAAUGGGCGAAAGAUGAGGCCACCCCACAAGAUUGAUGUUUUAUUUAGUUAUAAGUUAUUAUUAAUUUAUGUUACGUGCAUGGUUUAGUUUGCACCUUAAAAAAUGACUAUACAACCUUCAAAUUAAUCCCCCAUCCAAGAUCAAUCCAAGCUAAAGGAAUAAAAAAAAAAUGAAGUCCUCAAAUAUUCUUGUGAUCUUAACAAUUUUCUCAACAUGUUGUUUCAUUUGCUUAGCACAAAACUCCCCUCAAGACUACCUAGACGCACACAAUAAGGCUCGCGCCGAGGUUGGUGUCCCACCACUUUGUUGGGACGACAACCUUGCAGCCUAUGCUAAGAACUUUACGGAAUCAAAGAUCGAAAGCUGUGAAAUCACGAACUCCGGUGGGCCUUAUGGUGAGAAUAUUGCGGAUGGUUCUGAUGAUAUGACGGCUACGGAUGCCAUGAAUAUUUGGGUAGAUGAAAAGAAAUACUAUGACAAUGCAACCAACUCGUGUGUUGAACGUCCGUGUGAUCAUUAUACAAAAGUUAUUUCCCGUGAUACUCUUCGUCUUGGUUGUGCUAAAGCAGAUUCGCCAGAUUGUAUGUUUGGAUGGUCAUUUUUUCUUUGUUGCUAUGAUCCACCAGGAAAUUAAUAUGUACGUGAUCGACCUUACUAGAGUUUCCAUGUUUAAAUUUUCUUCAUUUUCAUUUUUAUUUUAUGUCAUGUAAUCUAGAUUAGUGCUGGUAAUCCUUGUCCUAUAUGGAUAGCUAGCAUGAUAUUUGCAUCAUAUAUAGAAAUGAAGGACUCGAUGCAUAUUGGGUGAUUUGAGGGUUAAGGUUUCUCGAUUUCUUCUCAAAAGUAGAAAAGAAGAAAAAUUUUAUACAUCUUUUAGAUACAACAUUUUUACAAUUUUAUUUAUUUAUUUUGUGUUUAAUAUCUCAACCAUUGGAUUAAACCAAGAGAUAAGAAAGCUAUGAAGCACUAAGAUAUAUCAACCAUACUAAGAUAUGUGACCAGUUUUGAUCUCUCUGAUAAUGAAUUCACCGGUGGAAUUCCGAUAGAUUAUGCAAAUUGCACUUACCUGAAUACUGUUAAACUUGACAACAAUAUGCUAAAAGGGGAAAUGUACAAAGCAACAUUUCCCAGCAAUUGUUUCUUGGCGGUUAAGAAACUACAUGAUUCUCAAUUUUGUAUCAAAAGGUUUGAGCUAGAAAUAAUUAUUUUGGGACAAUAUAGUCACCAAAACAUACUUCCCUUGAUUGGAUUUUGCAUAGAAGAAGAAAAAAAUGAAAAUUUUUUGGUGUAUGAAUACAUGUCAAAUGGAAGACUUUCUGAUUGGUUGAAUGAUGAUACUACAAAAUUAGGAUGGACAAGGGUUAUUAAAAUUGCACUUGGUGUAGCAAGAGGUUUAUGUUGUCUUCAUCAUAGUUUGCAUAUGGUUCAUCUUAGUACAAGCUUAGAGUGUAUCUUGUAAUCCCUCAUCCAAGAUCAAUCCAAGCUAAAGGAAUAAAAAAAAUGAACUCCUCAAAUAUUCUUGUAAUCUUAACCAUGCUGUCAACGUGCUGUUUCAUUUGCUUAGCACAAAACACCCCUCACGACUACCUAGACGUGCACAAUAAGGCUCCCGCCGAGGUUGGUGUCCCACCACUCUGUUGGGACGACACCCUUGCAGCCUAUGCCAUGAACUAUUCUGAAUCAAAGAUCGAAAGUUGUGAAAUGGUGCACUCCGGUGGGCCUUAUGGCGAGAAUUUUGAGGAGGCUUCUGACCCUGAAAUGANNUUGGCCGGAUGAUAAGAAAUACUAUAACAAUGCAACGAACUCGUGUGUUCAAGAUGAGUGUAGGCAUUAUACACAAGUUGUUUGGCAUGAUACUCUUCAUCUUGGUUGUGAUAAAGCACAUUGUACGAAAGGAUGGACGUUUAUCAUUUGUAGCUAUGAUCCACCAGGAAAUUAUGUAGGUGAUCGACCUUAAUUACUAGAGUUUCCAAUGUAAUCCAGAUUAGUGCUGGUAAUCCUUGUCCUAUAUGGCAUGAUAUUUGCAUCAUAGAAAUGAAGGUCUUGAUGCAUAUUAGGUUUGUUUUGAGGGUUAAGGUCUCUCACUCUCU
rnacentral:lncRNA from 1 species